rfam:Bacillus cellulosilyticus DSM 2522, complete genome.
CCAUGCUAAGCGGGGAGGUAGCGGUGCCCUGUACUCGCAAUCCGCUAUAGCGAGGCCGAACCCCUUCUCGAGGUUUUAGUAUUGUAAGGUCUGACCUAAGUAAGUGGUGUUGACGAUUGGGUUCUACGCAACGGAAACCUGUGAACCCUGUCAGGUCCGGAAGGAAGCAGCAGUAAGCAGUCAUUUCCGUGUGCCGUAGAGUCGCCUGAUCCGAGCUAACUGCUUAGGUAACGCUUAUGAUACUAUUAUCGACAGAAGGUGCAUGG